rnacentral:rRNA from 1 species
UACGUAGGGCGCGAGCGUUGUCCGGAAUUAUUGGGCGUAAAGAGCUCGUAGGUGGCUUGUUGCGUCUGCCGUGAAAGCCCGUGGCUUAACUACGGGUCUGCGGUGGAUACGGGCAGGCUAGAGGCUGGUAGGGGCAAGCGGAAUUCCUGGUGUAGCGGUGAAAUGCGCAGAUAUCAGGAGGAACACCGGUGGCGAAGGCGGCGGGCUGGGCCAGUUCUGACGCUGAGGGGCGAAAGCGUGGGGAGCGAACAGG